GACGAAGGUGGCUAGCGUUGUUCGAAAUCACUGGGCUUAAAGCGCGUGUAGGCGGCCUAUCAAGCGUCGUGUGAAAGCCCUCGGCUCAACCGAGGAAUUGCACGGCGAACUGGCAGGCUUGAGGCAGGCAUGGGCGAGUGGAACUCUUGGUGGAGCGGUGGAAUGCGUAGAUAUCAAGAGGAACACCGGUGGCGAAAGCGACUCGCUGGACCUGUCCUGACGCUGAGAUGCGAAAGCCAGGGGAG
rnacentral:rRNA from 1 species